GGUAAGGUAACGGCUUACCAUGACAUCGAUAGGUAGGGGUCCUGAGAGGGAGAUCCCCCACACUGGUACUGAGACACGGACCAGACUCCUACGGGAGGCAGCAGUGAGGAAUAUUGGGCAAUGGAGGCAACUCUGACCCAGCCAUGCCGCGUGCAGGAAGACGGCCCUAUGGGUUGUAAACUGCUUUUAUACAGGAAGAAACACUGGUAUGUAUACCAGCUUGACGGUACUGUAAGAAUAAGGACCGGCUAACUCCGUGCCAGCAGCCGCGGUAAUACGGAGGGUCCGAGCGUUAUCCGGAAUCAUUGGGUUUAAAGGGUCCGCAGGCGGUCAAUUAAGUCAGAGGUGAAAUCCCAUAGCUCAACUAUGGAACUGCCUUUGAUACUGGUUGACUUGAGUCAUAUGGAAGUAGAUAGAAUGUGUAGUGUAGCGGUGAAAUGCAUAGAUAUUACACAGAAUACCGAUUGCGAAGGCAGUCUACUACGUAUGUACUGACGCUGAGGGACGAAAGCGUGGGGAGCGAACAGGAUUAGAUACCCUGGUAGUCCACGCCGUAAACGAUGGAUACUAGUUGUUUGGCAUUAGCUAAGUGACUAAGCGAAAGU
rnacentral:rRNA from 1 species